rnacentral:rRNA from 1 species
AGCGAACGCUGACGGCAGGCUUAACACAUGCAAGUCGAGCGCCCCGCAAGGGGAGCGGCAGACGGGUGAGUAACGCGUGGGAACGUACCCUUUGCUACGGAAUAGCUCCGGGAAACUGGAAUUAAUACCGUAUGUGCCCUACGGGGGAAAGAUUUAUCGGCAAAGGAUCGGCCCGCGUUGGAUUAGCUAGUUGGUGGGGUAAUGGCCUACCAAGGCGACGAUCCAUAGCUGGUCUGAGAGGAUGAUCAGCCACAUUGGGACUGAGACACGGCCCAAACUCCUACGGGAGGCAGCAGUGGGGAAUAUUGGACAAUGGGCGCAAGCCUGAUCCAGCCAUGCCGCGUGAGUGAUGAAGGCCUUAGGGUUGUAAAGCUCUUUCACCGGAGAAGAUAAUGACGGUAUCCGGAGAAGAAGCCCCGGCUAACUUCGUGCCAGCAGCCGCGGUAAGAC